rnacentral:lncRNA from 1 species
UUCAUAUUGCCGAUAACCCAGACAGCUUGAAGGACACCGGAUUUUAAUAAGUUGAAAAUACAAUUCAUAAGCAUAAAUACAUAAAUAAAUCAAUACAAUUAUAGAUGAUUACUGAAUGCUGAUAUAUGACAUACAUGUUGUAUAUUUAGUUAAAUACCAAUUAAUUACAAAAGCUCUUUCAUCGACGAUCCCGCCGGCCAGGAACAACAGGAACUAAAACGAGUUAACUCGGGUCAAACUACAUAAAAUACCAAAUAUGUAGUGGAAAAAAGUUGGAAACCUGCGUCCAAACCCUAUGCUCGGAAGACC